rnacentral:lncRNA from 1 species
CCGCCACAAACAUUCCCAAAACCAAUUAAUCAGCUAAAAACCCUAAUUCGCCAAACUUACUUAUUUACAAAUAGAUAAAUACGAAGACGUGUAGUCUACAUAUCCUUUACCUGAUUGACAGUUGAAAUGAGUUUACAAGACUUAAUACUUUGUCCGAACGAGGAUGAAGCUGAAGCUCGGGCGGGAUUCGACCGACUGGGUGUUUCUAGGUGAAGUGGGUGUAGUCUACUCUGACGACUAUGUGGUAAGAAGGGGGAUCUUAGCUGCUCGCCUACUUGUAUCAGCCAAGUACAGUGUUUCAGAUAUGUGGAGGAUUUGUGCAUUUGGUCCUUGAGUUUUUAGUCUACUUAUGCUUUUGUACAGCCAAAAAUUAAAUUGACUCAAAAUCUUUUACUUUUAUGGAAUUUUUGUUUUUGGUAAACUUGACCACUAAACAUUGUUUUGAUUUUUAGAAUAAGUUGUGCGUUCUUCAUGAGUGAAUAUAUUUUCUAAUAUUCUAUAAGUCUGGUUCAAUGUGUCUGUGAGUUUUUAGUCUAAUUAUGCUUUUGUACAAUCAAAAAAUUAAAUGGGCUCAAAAUCUUUACUUUCAUGAAAUUUUUUGUUUUUCGUGUACUUGAUUACUAAACAUGGAUCUUGAUUUUUAGGAUAAGUCGUGCGUUUUUCAUGAGUGAAUAUAUUUUCUAAUAUUCUAUAAGUCUGAUUCAAUGUGUCAAAUUUUACUUAUGUAAAUUUUCUGACAAUAAAUGUCGGUUGUAUUCAGAAGAUACUUUUGAUACACAGCUGUACAUUUAUCACUUAGGUAGUGAAAGUGUAGAGACAGCCUGAGAGCAAGAAGUAAAUACUACUUAAACCAAAAAUGCAGAUAGCCCACAAAUGUGCUACAAGGAAAAAGUACCAUGCAUACUUUAAACCAUAUAUGAGACGUAAACCUCUAACUACUUCACCAUUACAAUUCUACAUAACCAAAUCUACCCUGCAAUAAAAGUAAUUAUUCACAUACAAAUCCGAAGAGGUUUGAAAAAGUGGAAAAAGCUAUGCACUGACAUAAAAAAUAACUAGAAUUUCAAAUUAUAGCCAGAAAUUAACCUUCCAGUGAGUUUGGCAGGACCAAGCUUUGCCAAAGCACGUUCAACUUCUUCGCUAACCUGUCAGCAACAAUUUUGAACAUAAGACAAAAGAAGCUUGAGACUCCAUUAAGCAAACAAAAAGCUACUGGGUAACAUAAACAUAAGAAAAAUAUAGUCAUGGUAAAGAUGCAGCUUUUGUCUGCUAUCAUACAGUUGUUUGAAGAAUUUAUACCACAAAAACAGGGUGAAAUGUUCAGUUACAUUAUCAAUAAAAAAUCAUACAACACUGAAGAGGAAGAAGCAGCAGCAGUUAAACUACCUGAUCUAGCAUGAAGAUACACAUACUUGUUUCGAACAUAAUGUAGAUUUAGUUGAUGGGACAAAGUUUCAAUUUCAGUAAGCUUGUAGACAAAACUGUUCUCUUUCACGGAUGGAUAUCUAAGUCAUAUUAUCACUCCCAACAUAUGAUAAAACCAGUUUAACAAAGAAGCAUCUUUGUGUACUCAACUAAGGCAGAAAAAUAUACGAAAAUAUAUGUUAUCACAGACAAAAACUGAACAAGUGCAAAACAAUACAAAAUUGCAGGCAAAAAAAAAAAGAUUAAAACUUUAGACUUGAAAGGUUAAUCUAAAUGCAUAUAUGUGGUUGCAAAUGUUAGCUUUCAUAUGGAAGUAUUGAAAUUACUCCCCCCCCAACCCCCCAAAAUAUAUAUAUAUAUAUAUGUAUAUAUUUAAAAAACCAGCAGAGCAUUUAUAAAGCAUCAGCGUUGGGCUUACAACUCUACGAAGGAUUGGCUCCAAGGAUGAGCAGAGUUUCUGAAGACUAUCCACCUUUAGCGCUUCCACAAUGACACUGCAUGAAGAUUGUAUUCUUAAACAGUGUGAAACCAUGAUGUAACAAGUCAACCGGAAACCAAUUUAGAAAGGCAAACUUAGAGAUAGAGAUACAAAUGACAUGUUUCUGGCAGUUAUGAAAAGUAUUAAUAAGCAGCAAUUAAAGGAAAACAAUUUGAAUUACACUUUCUCAAAAAUUUCACAGACCAUUAGAUUAAGAUUUCUUUUAUAGCAUGCCAUAUCAUCAUAAAAGCGAGAAUUCUUUCAUAAAAAGCUUUAAUGUCUCACAGGGCCUGAUUCUUUGAAUCAUCUACAGGCCAUUUCCAUAUUAACAAGGGUGCAAAAACCACAUAUAUCUUUUUAGACCUUGAGAAAUUUAUAAAUUGCACCCUUUGGCAGGAAAUAUAUGAUUUCCAAAUUAAACUUCAUAUUUUGUUCUCCAUCUUUCUCUGUUCUCAAUCCAACAUACAGAAUUUUCCAACUAAAGUAGCUAAUGUUAAUGCAAUCUCUGAAAUUGAAAUACAAUUAUAUGUCCUUGAAAGACAGGAUCAAAGCCGUGAAUGUUCUUGGUCAAAGUGAAAUGAAAUGUAGAAGAUAAGACAAGUUCCCUUAAUAAAACCACAAAGUACCCAUGUCAUAGGACAUGACACCGGUGCAGGUAUGUAAUAUGUGUCAAAUUUGGUCAAAUAUUUAGUUGGCAUUACGACUUUAGAUGAGGCCUCUUGGACCUUAUUAAUCCCUGCUCAGAACUACUUUACAGCAGUGGCAGGUACAUGACCCUAGGUAAGGGGGCGCAAUUUAUGACUAUUACGUGCAACAUAAUAACACUGGCCAAUAAACAUCUGUCUUACAUGUACUGUUAAUUUUAAAUACGACUUAAAUUAGUAAUAAUAAAUUUAGCAAUAACUUAAUUCUAUCUAUCAGAAAUUUUUCUUCUAAAAAAUGUUUAACAUUAUAUAACUUGAGGUAGGUCCAACACUCUUGUGAAAGGUAAUGCAUGAAAUAUUAAUUGUUACGGGUGGCAAUGCAGCCAUAAAAGGGAAUAUCACAAAAUUUGGGGGAGCAAUAAUGAUACAUUUUUACAAACUUUUCAAAUUUCCCAAAUCUAGGUUGUGAUUUUACCAAAUAUCUCCCCAGGGGAGGGGAGGCAGGGCAAUUGUCCAUCUUGAACUAUAUUUGGCUCUGCCAGUGCUUACAGCCUAUUCUAAAGAACCUUAGUGUUAAUCAGCACCUACAAGAAGUAAAGGAGACUACAAUGGUGAAAGUUUGGUAGCAUCCUUCAGGGUAUCUAGCUUCCAUCAGCAAACGCCCAAUUCAAUAAUACCCAAUCUGGUAUUACAAUAUGCACACAGAGAUUCUUAGAACCCCAAGUUUAAAAUUAGGGACAAUGUUAUGCGUUGCGCCAUAUCCAAAUACUCCCUGCAUAUUUUUCUUCUUGUCCUGGUAUCUUCUAUUUUGGCAAUUGGCCAACCUUGUGUCCACUACAAUACACAAACCUAGGUACAAACUCAUGUCCGCUACUAAAACCAAGCAGAAAAGCUCAGCAUAUUACAUGCCAGCUGUCUUCAUGCAUUAUAUGCCAGCUUAAUAUCAACAUUGGCACGUGGGUUGCAAAGUAAUGACGCCAGAUAUCUUUAACUUCUUGUCAUAUCUUGUAUUUUGGAAAUUGGCCAACCUUGUGUCCACUACAAUACACAAACCUUAUCAACAUUGGCACAUGGGUUGCAAAGUAAUGACGCCAAUGGCGCCAGAUAUCUUUAACUUCUUGCCGCAUCUUGUAUUUUGGGAAUUGGCCAACCUUGUGUCCGCCAGAAUACACAAACUCGUGUCCACUACUAGAACCAUGCAGAAAAGCUCAACAUCUUACAUGCCAGCUAUCUUCAUGCAUUAUAUGCCAGCUUAAUAUCAACAUUGGCACGUGGGUUGCAAAGUAAUGACGCCAGCUAUCUUUAACUUCUUGUCGUAUCUUGUAUUUUGGAAGUUGGCCAACCUCCCCACUACAAUACACAAACUCACGUCCACUACUAAAACCACGCAUAAAAACUUAACACCUUACAUACCAGCUGUCUUCAUGCAUUAUAUGCCAGCUUAAUAUCAACAUUGGCAUGUGGAUUGCAAAAUAAUGACGCCCACUAUCUUUAACAUUAGAAAUUGAACACGGUGAACUACCGAUGUCAUCCAUUGGUUCCCUCUAUCCAACUUUAGGAAUUAUUAGACCCACCUAACUUGAAAUUCUCCUAGGAUGCUGCUCCAUGCAAAAGAUCGGAGAACUCCUAAUAAUAACACUGAUCCAAAGUAUACUCUCAAAAUUAAGAAUUAAAAAUUGAACUAUUAUAAUUGCUCCUGAUGAUCACUGGGUAAACUACUUGUCCUUCUAGUUCACUUGCCUUAACAUCACCACAUCAAACUCGUGUUUUGCCAAAAACAAAUUAUUUUUAAAGGUGAAUUGUGUGACAUUGAAACAGUUCUUUUCUUAGAGCCAGAAAAAGACUCGGUUUCAUAUGGGAGGGGGAAAGUGGGAGCCAGAGAGCAAAAAGGAAAACGUGAACUGGAAAGAGACGUUAAAGUUAAGUAGCACUGCCAGAUGUUUCAGCUUUACGUGUUUUAAAUGUAUACCACUACUGAAUCCUACAUCCUCCAAAACAUCCUCUUCAAUCAUGUAUAGUACAGGAGAGAGAAUCAAUGGUUCAAGAAAUGAGGCCCACAAUCACUAUACAUAUUCUACAUGUAUACGUCGUAUAUACACAUAUACAUACAUUAAUAAAGUAAAAGAGAUAUUGUAGCUAACACUUGAACAUAUGUGGUCCACCAUUGCUCCAGCAUACAUAUAUGUAUCAUACAUACAAAUAGCUACAUAGACAUAGAGAAUGCGUGACUGAGUUUGCUUGUCUGUUGAUUCCUAGGUCUUAAAUUGAUAGAAAAUCACCAAUUUUGCUAUCACUGUCAAAUUUGUAACCUGCUACUCAAUUUUGAAUCUUGAACAAUAAUUUUCACCUAAAUUCCGAACUUUCAGUGAUCCUAAGACUAAACCCAACUACAUAUACCCGUGAUAAAUCAUACAGCAUAACAAACUAUGAAAUCAAUAGUAUCCAACACAGCUACAAAAUUUCCCUUACAAAUAAUUGAAACUCCCAAAAUGAACAACCAAAUUUCAACCACAUUAGCCUCCAAGACUAACUCAAAUUUCAAAUUGCCCCAAACCAAAAUAACAUCAACUAAUUCGCAACCAGAUUCAGAACAGGAACACAACUAUGUAUUUAAGUUCCAAAAAUGCCACUCCACACAAUCUCAAAUCCACAAGAAUUCAACCAAAUCCCACAACCAGCCAAAGUCAAUCUUCAACCAAAUAAAAUUAAAUAAAUUAGAAAACACAAAUUGACAAAAUCAGCCCAAAGUUAGAACUUAUACCUAGCCAGAGCAGGCCGUUUUCGCUCCUGCUGUUGGUCAUCCUCACCGUCCAAAAUCCUCUUCCUAGUCUGCAUUUCCACAAAUACCGCAAACCCUACAAUAAAAAAAAAAAAAAAAUAGCCGAUCAACAAAACAAACAGAUCUUAUAAAUAAACCCAAAUUCAGCACAACAAAAGCCUAGCCCCCCCAUCUCCCGCCACAAACAUUCCCAAAACCAAUUAAUCAGCUAAAAACCCUAAUUCCCCAAACUUACUUAUUUACAAAUAGAUAAAUACGAAGACGUGUAGUCUACAUAUCCUUUACCUGAUUGACAGUUGAAAUGAGUUUACAAGACUUAAUACUUUGUCCGAACGAGGAUGAAGCUGAAGCUCGGGUGGGAUUCGACCGACUGGGUGUUUCUAGGUGAAGUGGGUGUAGUCUACUCUGACGACUAUGUGGUAAGAAGGGGGAUC